CCUACGGGAGGCAGCAGUGAGGAAUAUUGGUCAAUGGUCGGGAGACUGAACCAGCCAAGCCGCGUGAGGGAUGAAGGUACAGAGUAUCGUAAACCUCUUUUGUCAGGGAACAAAGGCGGGGACGUGUCCCCGGAUGAGUGUACCUGAAGAAAAAGCAUCGGCUAACUCCGUGCCAGCAGCCGCGGUAAUACGGAGGAUGCGAGCGUUAUCCGGAUUUAUUGGGUUUAAAGGGUGCGCAGGCGGGCUGUUAAGUCAGUGGUCAAAGCCCGGGGCCCAACCCCCGCCCCGCCGUUGAAACUGGCAGGCUCGAGUUGGAGAGAGGUAUGCGGAAUGCGCGGUGUAGCGGUGAAAUGCAUAGAUAUCGCGCAGAACUCCGAUUGCGAAGGCAGCAUGCCGGCUCCACACUGACGCUGAGGCACGAAAGCGUGGGUAUCGAACAGGAUUAGAUACCCUGGUAGUC
rnacentral:rRNA from 1 species